UAUAUUACGAAUAAUUCACAAUAUUAUAUUAAUUUUAUUAUUGCAAUCAUAUACAAUACGUAUAAUGUAUAUGAAAUUUAUUGAGGUGUUUUCUCAAAACUUAAUAGGUAGCGAUUACAACGAUAACCUUAUGAAUUACAAGUAUAAAGGGAAUCUAAAUCAAAAUUGUUUCAACAAUAAUAACAAAAAUCACAAAACCGCACCAUUUCUUAAAAAGAACUUCUAUAGUAACUAUAACAAUGGAAAAA